AUGGCCUCAGGCAUGUAUGGGGCCUGCGAAGGCACCUGCAGUGGCCUUUGUAACUUGCUAGAGAAACGAGCUGUUAUUUCCUUCAUUUCCAGCUAUUGGUGGUUAAGGCAAGGUAUGGGAAAGCCUGAAAGCCAGAAAAUGCCUGGGCAAGAGAAAAACACCCCAAGUACUGCAUGGGCAAGAGAAAGACACCCUAAGUACCGCAUUGGCUGCAGGAAGGAUGGUGACAAGCAGGAAGAGGAACGACUUUGUGACUACGAACCACGACCAGGCCCUUCCCUGGUUCUGCUCACAGCAAGCUGCUGGCAUGUUCCUGCUCCUGCAGAACCAGCUCCAAGGAGAGGCAGGAGAGCUCAGUACAGACCUACAGAUUCAGCAUGCAGGCUCCAGAAUCCUGUGAGUGCUUCUGACGAUCCCAAAAGGGUUUCAUUAUCUCUAACGCUAUUACUUGGAGCUCAGGCUGUAUCACUUCACCUGGCCAAGCCACUGCAACAUCUGCUGAACAGCACAAUGAUCUGGGUGUGCUGUCAGCCCAGUGCCAAUGCUAAAUGGCUGAUUUCCAUGAAAGUGGUGUAAAGCACAUCAGUAAGCAGGUGCAUUUAAGGAAAUGUACAUGGUCUGUCAGCCAGCAGCAGAGAUGGCAAAGCUGCAUUCAGGUGCCUGGUGCUUUAGGAUGUUGCUGUCAUACAUCUGCCUAUCACUGGUGGACUGGAGAAAAAAAAAAAUAUAUAUAUAUAUAUAUUUAAGAGCUGCUGUUAAAUUCUUGAUUGCACUGAUGGGAACAGUAACUCAAUGUACCACAACAGCUUUGUUGUCUUCAGUGUGUUUAACCCCCAUGCUCAUUAAGAACCCUGUGUAUUGUGGUUUUGCCACCCUGUUUCCACUGUUGACCUAGAACCGUGCCCUAAAACAGACACAAGACUCUGGAUCUCAUCCAUCCCCAAAGUGGUGUCUUUUUCUCCCCUGCAGAUUGAUGUAAUUCCGCUUUUCCUUGUUGGGAUUAGGACAAGCAUGCUCGCAGGCUCCCGUUAUCGCAGUGGAGGUAACGCGGGACGGAGCGAGGGCAGGCAGUGCUGAGUGAUCCUUGCCAGGUACCCAGCUGGCGCUGCCAAAGCGCGCGGGGCUUUCCUCCAAAUGCUUCCACCGCAGGAGAAACGUGUCUUCUGCUGCCAAGGGUCUGGGAAUGUCACUUAGCCUGGGGAAAGCUUGCCAUCGCUGUAUGACAGCCACUUCACCAGUCAGUCCAGUAACGCUCUGUGAAAACAAAAGGUUACGUGCCCCGUGCCAGAAGGACUGUCUUCACUGACAGUGGAACACGUCAGAUGUCUGGCCAUUUCAGGAGCUGUUCUCAGAAAGAACACGAGGAAAUGGGAGUCAUGUGUUACAGAGCAGUGUCCUCUGCAGUCCAAGGCACACUGACUAAACGUAUGUCACAUUCCUAUAGCACCUCUUAGGAUAAAUGUUGUAUGAACUAUAUCAAAAGUCUGGUUUCCUUCCUCAUAAAAAAGUUCCUUUGAAAUCUGAAGUUAUCUGAGUUGCCUGCACCCCAUUUUUUUGUUCAUUUCUUUAGCAAAUGAAUAAAGAUGGAUUUUUUUUCA
rnacentral:lncRNA from 1 species